AUUUUCUUCAUGAUUGGAGCAGAUUAUGAUGGAAAUGAAUCUUAAGGCUUCUUCCGUUAGGGAUGUAUUGAAUGGAUUUAAGGGGAUUAAAUCUCUUGCUAUUUAAAAUUUAAUAGGAGGAGGAGAUUUAAUCUCCAUUCAUCCCUGUGUAACCGAAUAAGACCAAGUUUUGUUAUGUGCGCGCGGCAUGGACGCGCUGUGAAGAGAUGCCAGUUUCGUGGGGUUUUAUUACUCCGGAGUCCGGUGUCAACAUCUGUGAGAAACAUGUGGAAUUGAGGAGGCUUUGGACUUCAUGCUAUGUGCGCCGGAUCGGAUGGAUGGAUAACGCAUAGACGGCUUAUUAGGAGCAGUGGUCAGCAACAUACCAAAGAGCUGCAGA
rnacentral:lncRNA from 7 species